UGCUUCUUUAAAACAAGCUUUAUUUCAGACGUGGACACAUCUUACAUCUGUCUCUGGGACGAGGCACAGGGUGGAAGAGUUUCAUGCUGAAGAUGUCGCUGUCGAAGCGAGACAUUUAAAGACACUUCACAACUUUUCUGACAUUUAACAAACAGACACAUACUAGAAGAUCUCAACAAAUCUGCAUUAUGAAAAUGAUCUCAAACUACAGCCAGUAAACCAGAGAAGUAUCAUUGUUAUAAAAUCUGUCUUGCAGUAAGUCCACAUCCGGCUGCAGGACGUGUCCCGGUGCUUCAGACAGACUCAGGAUCAGUCUGUGGUUCAGGAGACGUCCAGGUUCAGUCUGUGGUUCAGGAGACGUCCAGGUUCAGUCUGUGGUUCAGGAGACGUCCAGGUUCAGUCUGUGGUUCAGGAGACGUCCAGGUUCAGUCUGUGGUUCAGGAGACGUCCAGGUUCAGUCUGUGGUUCAGGAGACGUCCAGGUUCAGUCUGUGGUUCAGGAGACGUCCAGGUUCAGUCUGUGGUUCAGGAGACGUCCAGGUUCAGUCUGUGGUUCAGAAGACGUCCAGGUUCAGUCUGUGGUUGAGGAGACGUCCAGGUUCAGUCUGUGGUUCAGAAGACGUCCAGGUUCAGUCUGUGGUUCAGGAGACGUCCAGGUUCAGUCUGUGGUUCAGAAGACGUCCAGGUUCAGUCUGUGGUUCAGGAGACGUCCAGGUUCAGUCUGUGGUUCAGAAGACGUCCAGGUUCAGUCUGUGGUUCAGAAGAGGUCCAGGUUCAGUCUGUGGUUCAGGAGACGUCCAGGUUCAGUCUGUGGUUCAGGAGACGUCCAGGUUCAGUCUGUGGUUCAGGAGACGUCCAGGUUCAGUCUGUGGUUCAGGAGACGUCCAGGUUCAGUCUGUGGUUCAGAAGACGUCCAGGUACAGUCUCUGGUUCAGGAGACGUCCAGGUUCAGUCUGUGGUUCAGGAGACGUCCAGGUUCAGUCUGUGGUUCAGUCUGUGGUUCAGUCUGUGGUUCAGUCUUUGGUU